AGGCUAAAAAGAAGAUAUUGCAAUAGACCUUUAAAGGAUCUACUUGAGAUGUCUUAUCUUCCUUCCUUCUUUCUCUCAAGGAUCUGUAAUUGAUGGUAUGCAUCAAUUUAAAGCUACCAGGCAGAAAGCAGAGAGAGAAAGGAAAAGACGAAGCUAAAGGGAAACCUUUCUCCAGUGGCCAGGUCAGAAGAGCAAUUGGGUCACCCGACAAGAAUUCUUUGGGCAUCUUCUACAACACACCGAGUACUGAUGACAGUGAAGAUGAUGCUAAUGAUGAUCUUCAUGUUUUCUCCCUAGUAUAAUUACUCUCUUCAGUGAGACUACUUCAAGAUCCCCAGUGUAGUUUCUGUUGAUGACUGUAUUAGUGUUGGUUAGAGAAGCUUAAUUAAAUGUGGGUUUUGCAUGCUAAUUGAUUGUUAAUCUUUGCGCAUGUAUAUUAAUUGGUUAAUAUUUAUCAAAUAUGAAAAUGACUAUUAUCUUGUUAUCUACUAGGUUCUAUUUAUUGUAAUAUGAAUGUAUAGACUAAAAGCUGUAAGGUGAAUGGUGAAGAGGUCUUAGUACAGGAUUAUAGACUAAAGCUACAAGUAAAAGGGUGAGAAGAUAAGGGAAAAAGCAAGGUGGUGAUCUAUUCAAACACAAAGUGGAACAGAGGCUUAAUUCCAUUGUAUACAGAUGGGAAUCUAGUGCUUUUGAGAUGUUUAGGAUAUUGUAGCUAUUCCAGAUGAGCAUGAUUUUCCUAUAGGUUCUGUAUCUUUUCUGUUAGCCCUGUGAGGGUAUUUUCAUAUAUUCUAGGGGACCUGAAAUGUCACUUGAUGUCUCUGUGUGGGUAGCCAUAUUGAGCUAUAGAUAUUUGUCUUCUGGAUAAUCAGUGUUAGCUGAAAUGAGGUCUACUGUCAAUUUCCAUUAGUCAAGAGAAAAAAGUGGACUCCUCCAGGAGAAAAUACAGUAAAUGUAUGCUUAUAAGACAAGAACCUUCUCUGAACUUCUUAUUGAACUUGACUGACUAAAUAUGGAAAAUAAAGGAGUGAUUUGGUUUUAAA